rnacentral:misc_RNA from 1 species
AAGUCGUAACAAGGUAACCGUAGGUGAACCUGCGGUUGGAUCAUUAAAAAAAAAUUGGUUCUUCCCUUAAAAAAGGUUGAACGUCGGUGCUCCUUUAACAAGGAGCUAGACUACUCCAAUUUUUUGUGAACUUGUAAACCAAAAAAAAGAAAAAUGUUUUUGAUCUAGUUGUGAAAAAGAUUUGGGUUAGUUUACUGCCCAAGUUUUUUUCCCUUCUCUUGAAGAAAUUAUUUUUUAAUUAACCCUGAAGAAUUAAACUUGUCUUUACCGUUUUUUUAUAAAUAUAAUUAAUAAACAACUUUUGACAACGGAUCUCUAGGCUCUC